AGGACGAACGCUGGCGGCGUGCCUAACACAUGCAAGUGGAGCGACGAACCGGGCUUCGGCCCGGGGCAAAGCCGCGAACGGGUGAGUAACACGUGGGUAACCUGCCCCGAUGAUUGGGACAACCCGAGGAAACUCGGGCUAAAUACCGAAUGUGCCCUCCGGCCUCAAGGCCGCUGGGGAAAGGAAGCUUCGGCCUCCGCAUCGGGAUGGGCCCGCGGCCCAUUAGCUUGUUGGUGAGGUAACGGCUCACCAAGGCGACGAUGGGUAGC
rnacentral:rRNA from 1 species